rnacentral:lncRNA from 1 species
AGGGAGUGAUUAGUAGCCCAAAACGCAGCGUUUAGAUCUCUCUCCGUUUGGUAUAAACAAAACAACCAACAAGCUUCCAAUCUCUGAAAGCACAGGAGAAAAAUUAUCGAAGCAUAAAUGGCGACCUCGAGGCUCUAUCGACUCUCCUCGCAAAUCCACCGUCUCUCUGCUUCAUCAUCUCCCUUAACCAAAUCCAUCAUCACCCGCUCCUCCGCCACCGCCGCGGCUGAAGUAGCUUCCCGAGCAGGCACCGCC